GGGACGAACGCUGGCGGCGUGCCUAACACAUGCAAGUGGAGCGACGAACCAGGGCUUGCCCUGGAGCAAAGCCGCGAACGGGUGAGUAACACGUGGGUAAUCUGCCCCGAUAACCGGGAUAACCCGAGGAAACUCGGGCUAAUACCGGAUGUGCCCUGCCGGCUCAAGCCGGCUUGGGGAAAGAGCUUCGGCCUCCGUAUCGGGAGGAGCCCGCGGCCCUUUAGCUUGUUGGUGAGGUAAAGCUCACCAAGGCAACGAUGGGUAGCUGGUCUGAGAGGACGAUCAGCCACACUGGGACUGAGACACGGCCCAGACUCCUACGGGAGGCAGCAGUGGGGAAUCUUGCGCAAUGCGCGAAAGCGUGACGCAGCAACGCCGCGUGGGGAAGAAGGCCUUCGGGUGUAACCCUUUCAGGAGGACGAGGUGUGGCGGCGAAUAGCCGACCACAUUGACGGUACCUCCACGAAGAAGCCCCCGGCUAACCUACGUGCCGAGCAGCCGAC
rnacentral:rRNA from 1 species